rnacentral:rRNA from 1 species
AUGAACGCUAGCGACAGGCUUAACACAUGCAAGUCGAGGGGCAGCGGGGGAUAAGCUUGCUUUUCCUGCCGGCGACCGGCGCACGGGUGAGUAACACGUAUGCAACCUGCCCCUGUCAGAGGGAUAAUCCGGAGAAAUCCGGUCUAAUAUCGCAUAAAGCGUUUGCGGGGCAUCCUGCGAGCGCCAAAGGAGUAAUCCGGACAGGGAUGGGCAUGCGGCGCAUUAGCUAGUUGGGGGGGUAACGGCCCACCAAGGCGACGAUGCGUAGGGGUUCUGAGAGGAAGGUCCCCCACAUUGGUACUGAGACACGGACCAAACUCCUACGGGAGGCAGCAGUGAGGAAUAUUGGUCAAUGGGCGGAAGCCUGAACCAGCCAAGUCGCGUGAGGGAAGACGGCCCUAAGGGUUGUAAACCUCUUUUGCCGGGGAGCAAAAGCGCCGUGCGCGGUGCUAUGAGAGUACCCGGAGAAAAAGCAUCGGCUAACUCCGUGCCAGCAGCCGCGGUAAUACGGAGGAUGCGAGCGUUAUCCGGAUUUAUUGGGUUUAAAGGGUGCGUAGGCGGACAGUUAAGUCAGCGGUCAAAACGGGCGGCUCAACCGCCUGCCGCCGUUGAAACUGGCAGUCUAGAGUGGGCGAGAAGUACGCGGAAUGCGCGGUGUAGCGGUGAAAUGCAUAGAUAUUGCGCAGAACUCCGAUUGCGAAGGCAGCGUACCGGCGCCCGACUGACGCUGAGGCACGAAAGCGUGGGGAUCGAACAGGAUUAGAUACCCUGGUAGUCCACGCCGUAAACGAUGUCGACUUGGAGGUUGUGCCCUUGAGGCGUGGCUUCCGGAGCUAACGCGUUAAGUCGACCGCCUGGGGAGUACGGCCGCAAGGUUGAAACUCAAAGGAAUUGACGGGGGCCCGCACAAGCAGCGGAGCAUGUGGUUUAAUUCGAAGCAACGCGAAGAACCUUACCAAGUCUUGACAUCCCACUGACCGGACAGUAAUGUGUCCUUUCCUUCGGGACAGUGGAGACAGGUGGUGCAUGGUUGUCGUCAGCUCGUGUCGUGAGAUGUUGGGUUAAGUCCCGCAACGAGCGCAACCCUUAUGGUCAGUUACUACGCAAGAGGACUCUGGCCAGACUGCCGUUGACAAAACGGAGGAAGGUGGGGAUGACGUCAAAUCAGCACGGCCCUUACGUCCGGGGCUACACACGUGUUACAAUGGGGGGUACAGAAGGCAGCUACACGGCGACGUGAUGCUAAUCCCGAAAGCCUCUCUCAGUUCGGAUUGGAGUCUGCAACCCGACUCCAUGAAGCUGGAUUCGCUAGUAAUCGCGCAUCAGCCAUGGCGCGGUGAAUACGUUCCCGGGCCUUGUACACACCGCCCGUCAAGCCAUGGAAGCCGGGAGUGCCUGAAGUGCGUGACCGCAAGGAGCGCCCUAGGGUAAAACCGGUGACUGGGGCU